AUGUUUUGAGUUAUGUAGUCUCACCUGUCACUCUUGGUUUCUUAGUUACCAUGAUGCCAGGUGUAAUGUUAGAGCCAGUGUCAGGUAGACUGAUGUUCUGUCUGACUAAUGUCAGUUUGGAGGUCGGACUGAAACAACAUAAAUAUACAUUUUUAAAUCAUGUUAAAAAAGUUUCCAAAGAGGAGAAUUGAUCAGCAAUGUCAUUGAGGAGAAACGCUCGCUCUUCUUCAGCUCCAGGAAGAUUAGAAACCAAAUCUGGGUUCAGUCUCCCUUUUGGACUCAGUGAUGGACGCCAGAGGAGCAGAAACCUGUCCAGGCCGGAGGACUUGGAUGAAAAAACAGAUGAUUUCACAGCCGCUCAACAUGUGCGCUUCAAUGACGAGGAAAGGGAGCUGAAACACAACCGACGAAGACACUCCGUCACACUUGGAGAUAAAACUCAAGUCUGUAAACAACAGCAGAGCUGUUUUCAAUCAGCAAGCAAACUUGAGGUGCAAUUUUUAUAAUUAUGAAACUAUAAAAAGGACGCAACGUGCUUCAAAAUUGGGUUUAAAAAUGUAUGAUUUGAUGCUUUUACUUCUUCAGAGUUGCCACUUUUAGCCUGAAGAUGUCACCAGAGUGCUUUAUCCUACUGCUCAGCUUUAACUUCAACCACAAGUAGUAAAAAAAGAUGGGAUAUAGUGACAGACAUGCUCAUUUAAGAUAAGCUCCUGAUCAUUUAACUUACAGAGCUCCUAAAGCCCAGUAAUGCUCUGGUAAAACAAAACACAUUUCUCUGACACUCAGAAGGUCUUCAGCACUUCGGAGUCCAACCCUUUCAAGGCUGACAGGAGUGAUGGAGGGAUGCAGGAGGCUGCGUUGCAAAAGCACCAGCUCAAGUUUGGAGCUUUCAGUCGCAGAUGUGUGACACACUCUCCUGCCUAAUGCGAGGAGCAAUGUGCCAUAACAGAUUAGGGGGAGCAAGCUCAGGAGUUCAAAGUUGUGCAUCUCUAAUAAAGGGAUUUGGAAAGCAGUCAAGGAUAUGUGAGCACUUUUAGCACCCCCAUCACUCUGGAUGAUUAAACAGUUAUCUCACUAAUUCAGGGAAUACUGUGGGGAAACCUCAAUUCUAGCUAGAUCCUUGAGAAAUUAAUCUGUUUAUCCCUCUGUUUUUUUUAUUUUUUUAUUAGUAUUUGAAAGACCACCACGCAUCAAAGAAUAGUUGCUAGGAAACCAGAGAAAAUCCUAAGAAAGACAGCUGAAAGAAAAGGAAGUAGCCUCAUAUUUGACCAGUGGUUGUGAUCUGCUCAUUAUAAUGACAUUGUUGCCUUAGGAAAGAGCCUUGAUAAUGAACUGUAAAAUAUUUAUCGUUAAUGGCUCCUCUUUUCUUUUUUAGCCCUUUGACUUCAAAAACUGCUUGAUUGAUGAGAAGAUAUCAUUGGAAAGUCUGCAGAAACUCAAGUUAAUUUUUGAGGAAUAUGAAGCGAAAGGCUUAAGAUGCAUUGACGAGGGGGCUUUUGGACGUGCAGUGAAGACAUGUUUUGGUUUGUCUAACACGGUGAGACAGCAUGGCAUUUGUCUUCACUUCUUUUCCCUCUUAAUGUUCUCACUAACUGACCUUUCCUCAGCUAAAAAUAAUUCUUCAUUAAUUAGAAAAAAGUGUCAUUGUCCUCAUUUGUCUUUUGGAUUUCACAGAGCAAUGAACAGAUUCAUGGAUUAUUUAAGAAGAUUGAUUAUUUAGAUCAAGGAAAGAUUUCUUGGGUAAGGCGAUAUUCACGUAUAAGUUUCUCAUUAAGUUUACAGCCAUUCACUUGUUGAGUCAUUUGCCGCCUCAGUGGAUGUUCCCUUUAGCAGCAACCAAUAAGAAAAAGACACAAGUGUAGCUGAGUUAAGCUUUAGAGAGCAAAUGGAACCAAUAGAAAACAAUAAAUUGGGAUUUAGUUAGCUUUUGUCAAUUCUAUGUAAAAUACAGUGUCAUCGAUAUACGUGAGGUCAUUUUUUUCUUUGUUUUUUAUUCAAUUUCUGUUAAAAACAAAGAUUUUUUGCGCUUGCUCAAAGUUGUUAAGAAGUUUAAUCUCUAGUUUGAAAAUUUGAGUGAUAAUAUUGUGUUUGCAAGGAUUUCUGCAUUGUCGGCAACCUUUAACAUUAAAAGAGCCAUUUGGGCUUGUUAUCUACUGACCAAAACCUAGAGGGAGCCGCAUAGUCUUACUUUAGCUUUUAGGAAAUUUGGAUUUGC